CUCUUUAAUAUUAAUAGAAGGAUCCUGGAAUUCACAUCUUCUUAUUUUGUUCGCUUCUUUGUAGCUUUCAAAUUCGAAGAACUUGUUCCUGUUGCUGAGGAUUCUGAAGAGAGGAUUGAGAAGUUCUUGGCUUUAUCAGAAGUCGAGAGAUCCUUCCGAUUCGAUCAAACCAUCCUGCGCCACCGACCUCAUAUCGACAGGAUCCAAAGCCACUCGCUCCAGUGCUCGCUUCAUUCUUGCUGAUUUUGAUACAACCAUGUCGAAGGACCAGUUGGUGGUAAAGAAGGAGAAGAGUUCAUCUUCUCUUCCUCCCAAAAUAUCAACUAUUGACUUGACAGUAAAGACCCCGGGAUCCCGGAAAAGGAAAACUGCUGAGUCCACCGGUUUAUCUUUGGAGAGCCUUGGAGCUGAGGAAGCGCUCCAGAAGUUGGUUUCUUUCUUCUAAGAUCUCUUUGAUCAUGUUUUCGCUGAUAUGAGGAUUCGGACGGAGAGGGCUGAACAAGACCUUCAGGGACAGGAUAGGAUGUGGAAGGCGACCACCAAGGAUCUUCCGAGGAGGGUGGAGCUGCUCAACAAGGAGAAGGCUGAGAGAGAGGAGGAGCACACACACGAGAUGGAGGAAGUGAUCUAUGACGCGAAGGUCAGUGCUGCGGUGGUUGUUUGGGAAGCCAAUAUCCGUCUUGCGGAAGAUCUUGAGAACGCAGGUUCCUGGGACGUGGACGGAUGGUGUGAGGCAUUGGCCAAAAUGACUGGCAAGCUUGCUACUGCCAAACAGGAUCCUGUACUACAACUGAUUGAGGGGGAGGAGAAGAAGGGCACGACCGAUGAUGACCAGGCUAAGGUCUAGGCCUGUCAAAAUAUUAGUAGUUUUUAUUUUUGUCAGUGAUGUAAGACAGUUAACAUUUUGUCUGGGUUGAUAUGCAACCCUUUUUUGAAUGACAUGGUAGCAUUUUC